CCAAUUCCUCUUUGAUCGAUUUCGUUUCAGAUCUCUCCACAAACCGAUAACCUCCCGGCGACAAUGGCGAUGGCGAAGACGACGGCAUCAACCACACUCUCGCAGCUCUCUUGCUUCUCCUCAAUCAACCGCAACCUUCACCAGCUCCACCUCCUCCACCAUCGCCGGCCUUUCUCCUCCCCGUCCUCUCCUUCUCUGCCUAAGGUCCGAAUUUCUCCAUUGCUCUCCUUUUCCUCUAGGUUUACUGGUUCUCUGUUCCAUACAUUAAACGAUUUUUUUUAUGAAUUUUCUCGCAGCUAUCGAUUGUUAGGAGUGUUGAACGGCCGGAUAGGGAAGCUUCCAACCCGGAUC
rnacentral:lncRNA from 1 species